GAUGAACGCUAGCGGCAGGCUUAAUACAUGCAAGUCGAGGGGCAGCAUGACUGUAGCAAUACAGUUGAUGGCGACCGGCAAACGGGUGCGGAACACGUACAGAACCUUCCUUCGGGCGGGGAAUAGCCCAGAGAAAUUUGGAUUAAUACCCCAUAGUACAACGGAGUGGCAUCACUUUGUUGUUAAAGAUUUAUCACUUGAAGAUGGCUGUGCGGCUGAUUAGGUAGUUGGCGGGGUAACGGCCCACCAAGCCUGCGAUCAGUAACUGGUGUGAGAGCACAACCAGUCACACGGGCACUGAGACACGGGCCCGACUCCUACGGGAGGCAGCAGUAAGGAAUAUUGGUCAAUGGACGAAAGUCUGAACCAGCCAUGCCGCGUGGAGGAUGAAGGUCCUCUGGAUUGUAAACUUCUUUUAUAUGGGACGAAAAAAGGGUUUUCUAACUCGUCUGACGGUACCAUAUGAAUAAGCACCGGCUAACUCCGUGCCAGCCGCCGCCGUAACAC
rnacentral:rRNA from 1 species